rnacentral:misc_RNA from 1 species
UUUCCGUAGGUGAACCUGCGGAAGGAUCAUUAACGCAGCUCUGGCGGCGGAGGCGCGCCCUGCUUCGGACCUAAAGGCCGGGCAGCAGGCGGUGCCGAGUCGCUCAACCAUCGCAAACCCACCGUGCGCACUUGUCGGCGAGGGGCGUAGGGCCCCGCGCCGGGUCGCAAACAUCUCUUUUAAAACAGAAUGAUCAGCGCACCUGUGCGCCGCCUAAUCAUAAACAACUUUCAACAACGGAUCUCUUGGCUCUC